AAUAAUUAGUUGACGGUGACCUUGCCGACCAUCCCAGCUCCGGCGUGCGGCUCGCAGUAGAAGCCGUAUGUGCCGGGGACGGUGAGCGUGACGGAGAAGGUCUCGCCGGGGGCGUUGAGGUACUCCUCCUGCGAUAUCUUGGACACGUCGACGCCGCUCGGAACCGCGUCCUCGUCGAACACCACGUUGUGAGGGAAGCCGGCGUUGUUCUUGAACGUGAUGGUCUCGCCGGACUUGACGGUGAAGUCGUUCGGCUCGAACACCAGCACGCCGCCAUUGGCGCCGAGAAGCACCUCCUGCGCCAUGGCGCCGCCCGCGAGCAUGGCGCUGGCGGCCACGGCCACUGCGGCCGCGCCGGCUGCCUUGCCGAGCGAGGCGCGCACGACCAGCGAAGAUCUCAUCCUCCUCCGCCCGGGAGCGGAGGGGGCCAUGGAAGGGAUGGUGACGGCGGCAGAGGAAAGAGCGGCCAUGGUAGCUAGUGUAUUGUAUUUCUUCUUGGUCUGCGUCUGCGUCUGCGUCUGCGUAGUACUCCUAUG
rnacentral:lncRNA from 1 species